CUUGAAGUGAGUAAUCCAUGCUUUAUUGCCUCUACUUUAGGGGCAAGAAACCAAUUGGGUGUUGUGCCUAAGAACGUGGACCCUGUGGCCAGACUGCUUGGAUCAGUGUCCUCCCUCCACCACUUUGUAGCCAUCUGACCUCAGUGCUGGAGCAGAGGUACUGAAUGAGGAAGUGGAGUCUUGGGAUACCUUUGGAGGGAUCCAGUUAAUGGACUGGCUGCCAUAAUUGGUCUGAGACACUGGUGCAAGCAUGAGAAUGGGAAUCUACAGGUCUCUAUCCCUGGUGAGCCC
rnacentral:lncRNA from 10 species